UUAUUAAUAAUUAUUAUUAAUAAUUAGAUAAUCGAUAUUAUUAUUAAUUUAUUAUUUAUAAUUAAUUAUUAUCAUUUAUUAAUAAUAAUUAUUAUUUAUUAUUAAUAAUUAUUAUUAUUAAUAAUCAGAUAAUCGAUAUUAUUAUUAAUUAAUAAUUAUUAAUAAUUAUUACUAAUAAUUAGAUAAUCAAUAUUAUUAUUUUAUUAUUUAUAAUUAAUUAUUAUUAAUAAUUUAUUUAUUAUUUAUUUUAAGUAAUAUUUUGAUGUUAAUUAAUUGGAUAAUCUGAUUUUAAUUUCAAAUUAUAACUCUUAUUCCUCUUAUUCCAAUCUAACCAUCCAAAUAUUAUUUAUCUUAUUUCUAGAAACAACCUAAUUUUCAUCCAAAUGCAAAAUUAGUCUAGUUCCUGCUUAUACCUAAACUUAUACCUAUCCCUAUCCGAACCAAACGCAGCCCGAGAAAAUAGAGAUUUUAUAAUAUAGUGGAGAUAAAGUUACUAAAUUAUCCAUAUAUUAAAGAACCAAAAUGCUCUUUUCAGAGUACCUGGUAACCGGUAUUUCUCUCAAAAUGAUCUGCAAUUACAGGUCUGUUUGAGAUAAAAAAAAAAAUUUCAAAUUCAAAUUCAAAUUAAGGAUGUAGAAGGAAAUGAAAUA
rnacentral:lncRNA from 1 species